AAACUUUGAUAAACCAAGUGAAGAUCUAGAUCUGCGGAGAAACACUAAUCCUGACUUAGGAGCCUGGUGUGAAAAAUCAGAAACUGCCAAGAGAAACUGCACUCAAAAGAGCACCGGAUAUGGGGUCAUUGAGGAGCAGGUGGACUCUCCACUGGGAAAUGGAAAACAUCAACUUUUAACCCUGCAUAUGAAGUAUCUUCUACUUCUCAACAAAGUCUCCUGGCUGCCCCCACCUCCCGUGCCCUAAUUACCGAUUGUCUUGAACAUCCAUUCCUGCUAUCAUUCCACUGGUCCACCUUCGACAGUCC
rnacentral:lncRNA from 1 species